AGGCGAGCCGUCACGUCACUGUCGCGUGUAGAGUCGCCGCCGCACCCAACCGCCGACGCGUGCUCCGUCGCCCAUGUUGGAAGAGGAUGGCCAAGCCUCCGUUGCUGGAAAACAGUGCUGCCGUAGCUGAGGUCCACUUCCGUUACUGUCAGUAGAGACUCGGGUCGCCACCGUCACUCGAGGUAGCUGCCAGAGCUGCUACCGCUCCGUUACCUCAUUUCUCUUUAGAUGCAUUUUGGUGUUGCCUUGAAUUUCCAGAGUUGUUUAUUUCUGCGUUUGAUUCCAUCAAAUUCAAUGUUGCUGCGAGUGUAAUCGGAGUUGGUAAUGCCGCCAUCAUAUCUCAACUUGGCCAACAUCAUCCUCCUUGUUCUGAUUCCAAUUUCUCCAAUUUUGAAACCCCCUUGUGGCUCCCAUUUUCGGCUUUGGUGCUGCCUUAGGACAGGGACUGUUGAAGCUACGACUGAUUCUGUAGUAGCUUGUUGCUGCCACCAAUGCUGAUUUAUGAUAGAAUGAUGAGGCUGUGAUGUUGAGAGUGCAGUCCAGCCUACUGUCUCGCCAAAAUUUUGCCUUCGGUUUCUUUUAAUUGCGACAUUGAAUGUUGGUUGGCUUUUGUUGGAAAUGAAUUGAGAUCUGGGAAGGAUUAUAAUAUUGGAAAUGAGCUUGAUUUGUUGAAAAAUGAGUUUAAAUUGAAAAUGGUUUGAGAUAUUGAAAUUGGUCUGAUUUUGAAAUUGAAUUGAAAGAAGUUUGAGAAAUGGUUUUGUUGGGACCCAAAAAGGGUGGCAGAAUCCGAGUUUGAGAGGAGAUAUUGCCGAAAUUUUAUAAAAUUAGAAGUUUCAUUUAAAGUAGCUAUUUUAAAAAGGUUUAAUUUUAAGCAUUAUAUGGUUUAAAAUUAUUUUAUUUAUCAAAGAAAAAAUUAUGUUUUGAAUUGAGAUUGUUAAUGAACAGAAUGGAAAGAAGGAUGAUGAGGAUUUUCUUUGAAAUAUGGUUUUUGAAUGAAUUUGAAAAUGAGAUAUGAAUUGAUGAAUGAUGAUGAUGUUGAGAAUGUUGAACUUAUGAAUUUGGAAAUGAGAUAUGGCUUAUGACUUUGAAUUAUCUGAGAUGCGAGGUUCCCUGAAUAAAGUGUCAUGGCUUGCCACCAUGUGUACCAAGUUGAAAAUUCGAUAUUUUGUUGACCCUACAACGUAAGUGUGACCGGGCACUAUAUAAAUUCCCGGGAAUGUAACUCCCAUUGGGCAAUAUUGAUUAUUUAAGAAAAAGCUAUGCGUAUACUCUUGGGGAUGCACGUUGGGGGACAAUCUAAGUUCAAUUCAGACUUGUCGGGUUGGAUGGAUAACCGACAGAUGAGCCUCAUCAGCUAUAGGAUAAGCAUGCAUCAUAUGCGUUUCUAUGUUUUGCUUUGGUUUGAACUUGUUUUGGUUUGCCUAAUUGCUAAACUGUUUAUAAUUGAUACAUGAACUAUUUGCUGUAACUGCUACCUAAACCUGUGCUUUUCUUGUCUGUCUUGCCUGUGUUUGUCUUGGUUUGCUACAUUUUAGAAUGAACUUUGGUGCUAAAUUAAUAAUUGUGUUGUUUGAUUGCAUAGUUAGUUCUGAUUGAGAAUUUCUUAUACAAGGAAAUGUUUUGGAUUUUUGAAAGAUUAAACAUUGUUUAUUUGAAAAGGUUUUGAACGAUUACCUAUUGGGUUUUAAAAGAUUCAUAAGACAACGAUAACCACUGAGCUUGAAAAUAGUUUUUUUUUAUUAAAUAUCUUCUUAUGACAAUUCUAAAACUCCGUGUUGAGACCGUGUGGCUAGGUUUUCACUCC